rnacentral:rRNA from 1 species
AUUGAACGCUGGCGGCAGGCCUAACACAUGCAAGUCGAACGGUAACAGGAAGAAGCUUGCUUCUUUGCUGACGAGUGGCGGACGGGUGAGUAAUGUCUGGGAAACUGCCUGAUGGAGGGGGAUAACUACUGGAAACGGUAGCUAAUACCGCAUAACGUCGCAAGACCAAAGAGGGGGACCUUCGGGCCUCUUGCCAUCGGAUGUGCCCAGAUGGGAUUAGCUAGUAGGUGGGGUAACGGCUCACCUAGGCGACGAUCCCUAGCUGGUCUGUGAGGAUGACCAGCCACACUGGAACUGAGACACGGUCCAGACUCCUACGGGAGGCAGCAGUGGGGAAUAUUGCACAAUGGGCGCAAGCCUGAUGCAGCCAUGCCGCGUGUAUGAAGAAGGCCUUCGGGUUGUAAAGUACUUUCAGCGGGGAGGAAGGGAGUAAAGUUAAUACCUUUGCUCAUUGACGUUACCCGCAGAAGAAGCACCGGCUAACUCCGUG